rnacentral:tRNA from 1 species
GCCCCUGUAGCUCAGAGGAUAGAGCAGCGGUUUCCUAAACCGCGUGUCGUGCGUUCGAGUCGCACCAGGGGUACCA